UACGGGGGGUGCAAGCGUUGUUCGGAAUUACUGGGCGUAAAGGGCUCGUAGGUGGCCAACUAAGUCAACCGUGAAAUCCCUCGGCUUAACCGGGGAACUGCGUCUGAUACUGGAUGGCUUGAGUUUGGGAGAGGGAUGCGGAAUUCCAGGUGUAGCGGUGAAAUGCGUAGAUAUCUGGAGGAACACCGGUGGCGAAGGCGGCAUCCUGGACCAACACUGACACUGAGGAGCGAAAGCCAGGGGAGCAAACGGG
rnacentral:rRNA from 1 species